UAGUUUUUGAAGCUCUGGCGAUAAUUUGAAGCUGCUGACCUCCGCCGCCAAAUUUCUGAGUACACCAGACGAAUUGAAAAAGAUGUCUCGGAUUUUGUCCGACCUGGAAAAUAAAGACAAGAAACUCAAUCACGCUUUCACGGACGGGAUGCUGGAGGGUAUCCGCAACAAUAUUCGCUGGGCUGAGAAGUAUUUGGAACAAGUCUAUUUGGUAAUCGAAUCUCGGAUAAUGACAGGUCGUACGACAAAUUCACUCGCCAAGACUAAUUGCAUUCCCUAAGCUGUUUUGCUGCUUGUCCUGAUUUCUCCAUCUUUUUUUAUUUUCAUAGUUUUUACCGUUUGUUGAAUAAAUAUGGAAAUAUUCUGG